UGAUAUUGUUUAUAUCAUAUACCUAAAACACAACAAGUUGAUAAACAUUUUUUUAAAAAUUGGGGGAGGGGGGGGGGGGGUAUUGACCCAAACAUAAAUACAUGGUAUACUAUACAACGAUAUUUGACUAUUUUAUUCCUUCGGUGAGUUUACUUUAAUGGUUAUGUUUCCAGUACUAUUGGCAUUGUGAAACAUGCUAAAGUCUGGGUUUUGUAACUUUAUUCCACUGCUGGUCACAAUAAUUGGAUGAUUAAUCAUGGACAUCCCCUCAUGUGGUCUAGAAUCUGGACGUUUCAAUUAACUGAACUGCUUGGCUGAGAAACUCGUCAUAUCUAUCGCUGUGCUGUUCAUGUACAUGUAUAUACUAUUAAGCAGCUCCUAGGGGCCUGCUAAUGAAUACUAAAAUUGGAAAUAAGUGAAUUAUUUUUAUUUCUUUUUUCGGAUUUACCAAACUCGCCCGUUUUCAUUAUUUCAUAUAAUUUGUAAGAGUUGUAGAACUUUGUUUACGUGGCGUCAUCGUAUGAACGGGAAUGUUUACAGAUAUGAUGCUGCUAUUUAUUUGCUUAGGGAAUAUGUUACCUUAUACUGAAGUAAGUUUUUUUUUUUACCGUUUCCCAUAUGUUUAGCAUCUAUAAGUCGUUGAAAAACGUCGGAAGAUAUUGGUUCUGCUUUUCUCGUUUUAUUGCCAAGUCCUCGGGAUUUUAGAUUUCAGAAAUCGUUUUAAAGCAGUUUUCUACAUCAAAAUUACCGUAAAUUAACAUUUUGAUCUCCAUUAGGACCGGGAAUUUCUAAUAAUGCUUUAGUAUCACCCUCCAUAAUCCUCCUACUGUUUUCUGUCGCCUAGAACGAUGAUUGUUUUUAAAUGAAGUUAAACGUGUUAUUGUUCUAAAUAAACAAUUGUUACUUGGGUUACCCCCCUUUGCUUAGAUACACGCUACAAUUUAGCGCUGUUUUUGAAAACGUUUUUAUUUAAUUUUUCUGCUUAAAUUAAAUUUUGUCGUGGAAGAAAGUAUUAUAUUUGAAAAAAAUUGUGUCUAACAUCAUUUUUUCAUGUAGUUAUGUUAGAUUUCAAAAGAUUAAAGAAGAAAUAGCCAUUUGAAAUUUGAGGGCGAGACAGCCCCUUGACAACGGGCCGAGACAGAGAUAUCUCGGCCCUUAGGGCGAGACAGCCCUACCUACUUGCAGCUGUCUCACCCUAGCCAAGAUAGGUGUAUCAGGGCUGAUACACUACUAGUUUACUCCUUACUGGGAGAUGUCGACAAGAAAAUCUUUAGAUGAUCGUGAGAAUGAUGAUGCGACCUCUGCCCCGCGACCUGAGAAUGAAUGCCUGUCUGAGGAGGUUAAAUCCUCAACCGACGCAGGAGCGUUCACGGGUAACAAGGAACUCAAGGAAUCUCACAAUGGUCACCCAACAAAAUCACCAGAAAGUACCGGGUGUGGCCAGAACUAGGGACCUCGGAGAACCCUGUUCCUUACAGAGAAGUUGACGUCGAUCAGGCAGGCUUCUGCGCCAGACAUCGACCGUAUGUGGUAUGCAUUGAAUAGUACAUUCAUAAAAACUUGAAGAUUUUGAAUACAUUUGUAAUCUGUAUUUGAAAAAGAAUUUAAUUAGAAUUUGCAUAUUUUUAAGCUCUCAUUUGGUAGUAAUCUCCGAUGUGAAAAUAGUUUUAAAGCAACAAAAUGUAAGAUCAUUUAUUAUAGUUGUUUUAUCUCAAAGACGCUCUGUCCAAGGCAGGGCGCAUUACUCUAAAUCGGGUCCAUUUCAUUGACAACUAGUUAUCUGAUUUUGAAGUGGACACCGUAAUUCAAAGAUCCUGUCAAAGAGACGAGUGCAAUUAAUUAGACUUAUAGAUUUAAAAUAUACAAAUCAUUUAUCUAAUACUCAACACGUUAAUUAAUGUGAAAUUUAUCAUGCUUUACAUAAAAUAAAUUAAUCUGAUA